UGAACUUGGAUUUUCUCUUCCGGCCUGUAGGCUGCUGCCCGGCCCUGGAGAGGGUUAGAGGGAGGAGGAGACGCUGGGCCUGUUCACAAAUCAUCACCCCCUCCCGUCGCUGACCUGGAGGUCUCAGGAGGUUCUAGAAGCCAGGGAGGCCAGGGAGGCCAGGGCAUGGGAAUCAGAGAGUUUGGUUCCUCCCAGGUCCUGGGCUCGAAGUGGGGCUGAGAGUGGGGUCACAAUUGGUAAACAAUGGCUCGUGCAUUUAGUAAGCACUCAUUGUAUACAAAAUCCCACAUGGGCAGGUCUGACCUGGCCUUAGAAAUGACCUCUUCCUGCAGCUCAGAAACCUGGGGCUGAGAGAGGGGCCUGUGCUGCCCUGGGUCACGCGGCAGUGCCUGAUGCCUGGGACUAGAGCCUGAGUUCCUUCUUUAGCACCUGCGGCCCACAGAGCUGCCUGAGUACAGGGCACAGCGGCAGGGGAGGGGGCGCCAGCAGAGGGAAAGACAAGAGGUGCCUAGUGUUCUGAAGCACAGCUGCUAGUGGUGGCAGGGGGGACAGGAAAUCCACAGAAGCCCAGACCUGGGAACGCAGAGUUACUGACAGACACAGGUGUGUGUGUGUGUGUGUGUGUGUGUGUGUGUGUGUGUGAGAGAGAGAGAGAGAGAGGCCCUGCAGAGUUUGUUCUGUACAGGUUUGUUAAAAUUUUACACCACGUCGACGAGGUGGGUACUCUGUCUCCCAAAGGCUGCCCCACGGCAAAACCAAGAUUUGCUCAACUCGCCAUGUCUCAAUUCCUCUGACCGCAGCCUUCCAGAGAGGGAGCUUUGCCCAGGGAAUUGAGAUGAAGAAACACUCCAGAGAGGGGACGUGCCUCGCCCAGGGUCCUGCAGAGAUCACGUAGACACCUACAGCAGAGGGGACUUGGGCACCACAGGGGACCGUGCAUUGGAUCCUGGCCGAAAGCCAGAAGCCCCUCGAGGACAAGGACCUCCUUGUACCCCACUCCUCCCCGUGGUGCCGACCACAGGGUGCAGCACAUAGUAGGCGCUCAAAAAGUCCUCCACGAUGAGUAAAUCUUUCAUCCUUCAGUAGCUGCAAUCACCUGCCGUUUAUUCAUGUCUUCAUUCAUUUCUCUAGCAACUAGUGAGCACUGACUGUGUGCGUGGCACCCUGCUGGAUGCGGGAACACACAGUUGAAUAAGACACCGUGCCUGCACCCCCUGCACCUGUUGACUUAUCUUCUGGUGGGGGUCUGGGGUUACCCCACAUCAUAACACGUGCCCCCAUAGUUUUCCUCACUCCCAACUCAGGCUUC
rnacentral:lncRNA from 1 species